rnacentral:lncRNA from 1 species
AAGGGAUAAGAGAGGGCUAGUAAAAGAGGGAGGGGGGAAGGGAAAGGAGUAUAGAUAUAGAGAUAUAGGGAUAGAGAAUUUAUAUAGAGAACAUAAAGAUAGACAUACAGAAGAUAGAGAUAGCUAUAGAAAAGAUAGAGAUAACUAUAGAAGAUAAAGAUAUAGUUAUAGAGCAUAGAUGGAGAUAACUAUAGAGAGAGUCAGACAUAGAGAAGAUAGAGAUUGAUACAGACAUAGAAGAUAGAGAUAGAGAUAUAGAAGACAGACAUAGAGAUAGAUAAGAUAGAGAUAGAGAAGAUAUUGUGGAUAGAGAUAAUAGAGAAGAUAAGGAUAGAUAUAGAAUAGAUAUAGAUAUAAAGAUAGUUAUUUAUACAAAAGACAGAGAUAGAGAUAUAGAGAAGUUAGAGAUAGAUUUAGAGAAAGAUAGAGAAUUUAGAGAUAGACUACUUUUAUAGAGAUAGAUAGAAAUAGGAAAAAGAUGGAGAAAAAUAGAAAUAGACACGAGAGAGUGAAGGAGUUUGAGAUAGAGACAGAAAGGGUAAUGAGAGGGUCAUUGGGAGAGAGAGGGUCAGACAGAGAGGGAGAGACAGACUGUGUGUGAGAUUGUGUGUGAACGUUUGUGUGUGUGUGUGUGUCUGCGUGUGUUCAUUUCACAACCUGGUAUUUCAUCAGAUAAGGGGUUGCCUUGUUUUUCUCCUCUUCCUGAAUCUCUUACAGGAAAUACUUGGAUGACGCCAUGGGGAAGAGAAAUCGGGUAUCUACCCACGGUGAGAAUCAAUCAACAAGAAAUGAUGAGCAGAAUGUUCUCAGAGGAAAAAACAACCGGUAAAGUCCUCCAUGAACAGAGUGAAAUAUGCUUUAUCUAAAAUAACAGCAAUGUUCAAGAGUGACUAGUUGGAAAUGAUUUUGUUAAUCUCAGUAGCAGACUUAUUAACAAAAAUUCUGAACGACUUAAAUAAAAA